rnacentral:rRNA from 1 species
AUUGAACGCUGGCGGCAGGCCUAACACAUGCAAGUCGAACGGUAACAGGAAGCAGCUUGCUGCUUUGCUGACGAGUGGCGGACGGGUGAGUAAUGUCUGGGAAACUGCCCGAUGGAGGGGGAUAACUACUGGAAACGGUAGCUAAUACCGCAUAACGUCGCAAGACCAAAGAGGGGGACCUUAGGGCCUCUUGCCAUCGGAUGUGCCCAGAUGGGAUUAGCUAGUAGGUGGGGUAACGGCUCACCUAGGCGACGAUCCCUAGCUGGUCUGAGAGGAUGACCAGCCACACUGGAACUGAGACACGGUCCAGACUCCUACGGGAGGCAGCAGUGGGGAAUAUUGCACAAUGGGCGCAAGCCUGAUGCAGCCAUGCCGCGUGUAUGAAGAAGGCCUUCGGGUUGUAAAGUACUUUCAGCGGGGAGGAAGGGAGUAAAGUUAAUACCUUUGCUCAUUGACGUUACCCGCAGAAGAAGCACCGUCUAACUCCGU